AGAGAAGGUAGUUCAUUUAACAACGAUUUUCGUUGUUUCCAUUUCUCAAUAUUUUAAUUUUUUAGUAAUAGUAAGUCCUCUUUACAGAGUAUAAGCGUAGGAGGGAUAAUAGUCCCGUAGCUCAGUUGGUUAGAGCAUUACACUGAUAAUGUAGGGGUCAGCAGUUCAAAUCUGCUCGGGACUACUACUUACAUCUUAUUAUUUAUUUAAUAAAUGUAAACUAAAAAGUUCUUUGACAUAUUGGAAUUGAUUGAAGUAGUAAUACAAAAGAGAAUAAUAAGAAC
rnacentral:misc_RNA from 1 species